rnacentral:rRNA from 1 species
UGCGAAUGGCUCAUUAAAUCAGUUAUCGUCUAUUUGAUUUUACCUUACUACUUGGAUAACCGUGGUAAUUCUAGAGCUAAUACAUGCUGCAAAGCCCGACUUCGGAAGGGUUGUAUUUAUUAGAUUAAAAACCAAUGCCCUCCGGGGCUCACUGGUGAUUCAUGAUAACUUCUCGAAUCGCACGGCCUUGCGCCGGCGAUGGUUCAUUCAAAUUUCUGCCCUAUCAACUUUCGACGGCUGGGUCUUGGCCAGCCGUGGUGACAACGGGUAACGGAGGGUUAGGGCUCGACCCCGGAGAAGGAGCCUGAGAAACGGCUACUACAUCCAAGGAAGGCAGCAGGCGCGCAAAUUACCCAAUCCCGACACGGGGAGGUAGUGACAAUAAAUACUGAUACAGGGCUCUUUUGGGUCUUGUAAUUGGAAUGAGUACAAUUUAAUUCCCUUAACGAGGAACAAUUGGAGGGCAAGUCUGGUGCCAGCAGCCGCGGUAAUUCCAGCUCCAAUAGCGUAUAUUAAAGUUGUUGCAGUUAAAAAGCUCGUAGUUGAACCUUGGGCCUGGCUGGCCGGUCCGCCUCACCGCGUGCACUGGUCCGGCCGGGCCUUUCCCUCUGGGGAGCCGCAUGCCCUUCACUGGGCGUGCCGGGGAACCAGGACGUUUACUUUGAAAAAAUUAGAGUGUUCAAAGCAGGCUUAUGCUCGGAUACAUUAGCAUGGAAUAAUAGAAUAGGACGCGUGGUUCUAUUUUGUUGGUUUCUAGGACCGCCGUAAUGAUUAAUAGGGACAGUCGGGGGCAUCAGUAUUCAGCUGUCAGAGGUGAAAUUCUUGGAUUUGCUGAAGACUAACUACUGCGAAAGCAUUUGCCAAGGAUGUUUUCAUUAAUCAGGAACGAAAGUUAGGGGAUCGAAGACGAUCAGAUACCGUCGUAGUCUUAACCAUAAACUAUGCCGACUAGGGAUAGGAGGGUGUUAUUCUUUGACCCGUUCGGCACCUUACACGAAAGUA